rnacentral:misc_RNA from 1 species
GCAUCGAUGAAGAACGCAGCGAAAUGCGAUAAGUAGUGUGAAUUGCAGAAUUCAGUGAAUCAUCGAAUCUUUGAACGCACAUUGCGCCCUUUGGUAUUCCUUAGGGCAUGCCUGUUCGAGCGUCAUUUGAAAACUCAAGCUCAGCUUGGUGAUGGGUGUCUGUCUCCGCCCCGCGGGGACUCGCCUCAAAAGCAUUGGCGGCCGGUACGUUGGCUUCGAGCGCAGCAGAAACGCGAACUCGGGGCUGGCGGAUCGGCGACCAGAAGUAUCUUCUUUACAGCUUGACCUCGGAUCAGGUAGGGAUACCCGCUGAACUUAAGCAUAUCAAUAAGCGGAGGA